rnacentral:SRP_RNA from 1 species
CACUGGUCACCUCGCAACAGACCGCUAUGAACCCCGUCAGGCCUGGAAAGGAGCAGCGGUAGUAGAAUGGCCUGUGUGCCGUGGAACGGCGAGUGCGG